ensembl:snoRNA
GACCUUUGUGUUGCCCGUUCAUUUCAGAAACUCGUGAGUGGGGUGUCAACAAAAGGCAGAUGUUCACCUCUCUGUGGGUGGUUUCUGCCCUUGAAUUUGGUGUCUUUGGUACAAGAACUGCUUACGUAACAGUU